UCUGUCCGGCCAUGGUGCCCCCGUCCUUGCAUGAGAGCGCCGCCAGAAAGCGAGGGGGACAAGCGGCCGAGGUGGCCAUGCGGGAUGUGCGAGCUCGUCUGCGGCUGCGCUGGUGCACUUCGCUAGAAACCCAAGGCCAGAGGCGUGCCCCGCGCGGUCAACGACGUGCACAUCCUCUGGGAAGAGCCCGUGGUGGAGCGGAGGCCGUGACGGCGAGGCGGCCCCACCUCCCUCCGGCGGCGCUCCUCCUGGACUAGGCCCAACCCCCGCACCAACAGCUCCACCUCCUAUCUCCUUCCCAACGGUCGACGCCCGGCACAGCCCGCCAUACUCUCCGAUUUGACGCCCGGCGAAGCCAGCCUCUCCCCGACCUCUGGACGGCGCUCCACGACGUACACGGCUCCUGGGCCCUCCCCUAUGACAUUGGAACUUCCAGUUGCGAUGUCCAUCUCCUUCUCAGGAUCCAGCUGCCACCUGCACGGCUGCACGUCAACUGUUCGACAAUUGACCCAACAGACAGGAGAAAAGAAAGCAGGGACAAGAUGUACUUGGUGCAAGUGUGUGGUGCGCGGACAGACUGUGUGUGGCAUGUUUACUGAACUUGUGAUGACAGUUCUUCAGGUAGUACCUUCGUCCCUAGAUUUUCACUCUAAACAUCAUUAUAUUUUGGACAAAAGAUGUGUUUACGGCAUUGUUGUUGUUUUAUUUUUUGAAGCUAUGCCAUUAAUAUUGCAUCAUAGAUAUUAAUUUGUAGGGCUCUAGCAUAUAUGUUUAUCACCAGGCUGAAAUUUGUGGUUCAAUCUAGAAAAGAAAACAGGGACAAGUAUUGAACAGAGAGUAGAGAGGAGAACAACUAAGUCCAGGUACAGAAAAAGGAAUGCAGCUGCAACGACUAAUUUGAUCCAAGCUGGCUCCUUCCCAUGGCAAAGCUGUGAUGUGGGAUGGCGCCAUGGCAGUAGUGACCCAGCCCUAAGCCACGAUACAACUAGGGCACUCAAUAUGACCUCAGGUUUCUCUAUAUCUGCUGCAAGGCUUGGAUUGCCAUAUAAGCCGAAUUCGGCAAGUAAGAAAGAAGAGUUAUUCAUUGAUAGUGUCACGGUUUGAUCCAGCUGGCUGGCAAGCUCCUCUGCCCUCCCUGAGCCCGGUGAUGAUUUCCACAGUCAGCCCUCCCCACACGAUGGUGGGCGAAGAAGGUGCACGUCUCCGACGAGUUUGCCGUGCCUCCCUCUAGUUCGGUGCUGGUCGAUGGUUGAUGAUGGAGUCGUGAUCUAAAGUUGGAGUGUGCCCUUUUGUCGGUGUCGUCAUUCUCUCCUUGACAACCGUCGUUGUCAGGAGCCCAAGUAGCUUGGUUGGGUAUCGAAGGCGCUGGUGGACCUAAUAGGUCCUUCUCUUUCUCUCAUAAAAAAGCCCGAGAUCAGUCAAAACGACUACCUCAAACUGAAAGCACGACGGAGAUUUUCCAAAAACCCAAUGAAAUUGGAUGCUUCAAAGGAUUUGAGUGGAGUUUAUUAUAGGUUCGAUUAUUUCUUGGCUUAGAGCAGCGGCGCAAGUAGAGAGAGAUGCCAAGGUUACUCAUGUGUCAUGAUAGAUAGCUGUGCAGGAGCAGCUCGGGGACGAACCCAAGAUGCAGGAUGACAAAGUUGUGAACUAAGCAGCAAAAGGACGGCAAGAGCCCGAUGGCAUCGUAGCUAUCGCCCCCUUCAGCGUCCAGGAACCAUGCAAAACGCCACUGUCAAUGUGAGCGGCGAGGAGCGAAUGGGCGGCUACAUCAUGCACCAUGGCAUGACGAUCAGAUCGGCGAUGUGAUCGUUGCACUGGUUAAUGCCAACGAUCAGUUCAUUUUUGUCGAUUGUCAUGUGGGAUUCUAUGUCCAUCUUUUUCUGGAAUUCUGUUUUUUUGAUUCAAAAUAUUUAAGAACUUGUGAAAUUUGGUAUCUUUUGUAAGCAAA